rnacentral:lncRNA from 1 species
ACUAAACCCCACCCCAUCAACACCACCGUUAUAUUAUAUACCCCUCUGCUACGUCUUCCUUCCUGAACGUCUUUCCUUCACGCACCAAGAGCUUAUCCCUAUCAGAAUCUAAAGAAUAUGAGUUUCAAAGACCUUGUGAAAGCUACCCUCUGUGCAUGCUCCAUUCCUGGAACAGCUCAUCUCCUCCCAGUCAUAGUCACCUGAAAAAAUAUGAAUUUCUGAAAAUACAUGCUUCAGCUCUAUUAAUAUCUGUCAUUGUUUGGAGCAAAGCCAAGUGACAAGAAGGAAGCGUUUAUUAGUAUCAACAUGUAACCCUAUGUAGAAGACCAAUGCACUCUCUAUAAAUCCCAAAACUGAGACAAAAGCUGAAUUGUAACUUCAUUGGCAAAUAAAGCAUAUAUUUAUUUUUCUCUAAAGGGCGCACAGAAGCCUGAAGUUUGACUUCAGACUUCUUUUUGAACCUCAGAAGAAUUAGCGCUAUUAAAGCUGGUCGGCUUUCAGAAGGUCCUUUGAGGGUGUCAUUUUACAUUUCAGAAGUUAAAUUUUUAAGUUUCAGGGAUAAAGUCAUGUCUACAUCAACUGCAGCAGAGAAAACGUUCUUACUCUCAGGCCUAUUUUCAUGAGAACAGUAAAGGAACUUCUACAUGCAUUGACUUCUGGAGCACUAAGGAUUGUCUUUUAGUCUUUGGCCAGCGGUACAAAAUGUGGGUGAAUAUGGGAGAAGUGACAGUUUUGAGACUUCGUGAAUGUAGCUGUGGUAAGAAGACCACUUCUGAUCAGUUUGUACAGACUGACUUCUGCGCAGUAAUGGAAAACCCCCCCUAA